rnacentral:rRNA from 1 species
GAUACACUGACGCUCAUGCACGAAAGCGUGGGGAGCAAACAGGAUUAGAUACCUGGUAGUCCACGCCUAAACGAUGUCAACUAGCUGUUGGGGCUUCGGCCUUGGUAGCGCAGCUAACGCGUGAAGUUGACCGCUGGGGAGUACGGUCGCAAGAUUAAAACUCAAAGGAAUUGACGGGGACCCGCACAAGCGGUGGAUGAUGUGGAUUAAUUCGAUGCAACGCGAAAAACCUUACCUACCCUUGACAUGUCUGGAAUGCCGAAGAGAUUUGGCAGUGUCGCAAGAAACCGGAACACAGGUGCUGCAUGGCUGUCGUCAGCUCGUGUCGUGAGAUGUUGGGUUAAGUCCCGCAACGAGCGCAACCCUUGUCAUUAGUUGCUACGAAAGGGCACUCUAAUGAGACUGCCGGUGACAAACCGGAGGAAGGUGGGGAUGACGUCAAGUCCUCAUGGCCCUUAUGGGUAGGGCUUCACACGUCAUACAAUGGUCGGGACAGAGGGUCGCCAACCCGCGAGGGGGAGCCAAUCCCAGAAACCCGAUCGUAGUCCGGAUCGCAGUCUGCAACUCGACUGCGUGAAGUCGGAAUCGCUAGUAAUCGCGGAUCAGCAUGUCGCGGUGAAUACGUUCCCGGGUCUUGUACACACCGCCCGUCACACCAUGGGAGUGGGUUUUACCAGAAGUAGUUAGCCUAACCGCAAGGGGGGCGAUUACCACGGUAGGAUUCAUGACUGGGGUGAAGUCGUAACAAGGUAACCAAGGGCGAAUUCUG